CGGGUUUGAUCCUGGCUCAGAUCGAACGCUGGCGGCGUGGCUAAAGCAUGCAAGUCGCACGAUUAAGGCCCCCUUCGGGGGGCGUAUAAAGUGGCGAACGGGCGAGGAAUGCAUGGGUAACGUACCUUGGUGCCUGGGGAUAGCUGCGGGAAACUGCAGGUAAUACCCGAUAAUAUCACCGUUUCAUAAGGCAUGGUGAUCAAAGGUGGGGAUCCCUUCGGGGACCUACUGGCUCGAGAGCGGCCCAUGUCCUAUCAGCUUGUUGGUGAGGUAACGGCUCACCAAGGCAACGACGGGUACCGGGACUGAGAGGUUGGCCCGGCGCAUUGGGACUGAGACACUGCCCAGACUCCUACGGGAGGCUGCAGCAACGAAUAUUCCGCAAUGGGCGAAAGCCUGACGGAGCGACGCCGCGUGCGGGAAUAAGCCCUUCGGGGUGUAAACCGCUGUCAGGGACCACCAAGCGAUGGGGGCUAAUACCCCUCGGAGUUGAGGAAUCCCACAGGAAGCCACGGCUAACUUCGUGCCAGCAGCCGCGGUAAUACGAAGGUGGCAAGCGUUGUUCGGAAUCACUGGGCUUAAAGAGCGCGUAGGCGGCCCAUCAAGCGUCAUGUGAAAUCCCUCGGCUCAACCGAGGAACUGCUUGGCGAACUGAUGGACUUGAGGCAGGUAGGGGCGUGUGGAACUCUUGGUGGAGCGGUGGAAUGCGUAGAUAUCAAGAGGAACGCCGGUGGCGAAGGCGACACGCUGGGCCUGUCCUGACGCUGAGGCGCGAAAGCCAGGGGAGCGAACGGGAUUAGAUACCCCGGUAGUCCUGGCCCUAAACGAUGUCCACUAGGUCGGAGUCUCUCUGACGGGUUUUCGGCCGAAACAAAAGCGAUAAGUGGACCGCCUGGGGAGUACGGUCGCAAGGCUAAAACUCAAAGGAAUUGACGGGGGCUCACACAAGCGGUGGAGCAUGUUGCUUAAUUCGAUUCAACGCGAAGAACCUUAUCCUGGGCUUGACAUGUACGGAUGCCUACCUGGAAACAGGGUCGGUUAACCUUCGGGUCGAAACGUACACAGGUGCUGCAUGGCUGUCGUCAGCUCGUGUCGUGAGAUGUUGGGUUAAGUCCCGUAACGAGCGAAACCCUUGUCGCUAGUUGCCAGCGGGCCUUCGGGCGCCGGGGACUCUAGCGAGACUGCCGGUGUUAAACCGGAGGAAGGUGGGGAUGACGUCAAGUCCUCAUGGCCUUUAUGCCCAGGGCCGCAAACGUGCUACAAUGGCCGGUACAAACCGACGCAAGACCGCGAGGUGGAGCAAAUCGGAAAAAGCCGGCCCCAGUUCGGAUUGGAGUCUGCAACUCGACUCCAUGAAGUCGGAAUCGCUAGUAAUCGCGUAUCAGAACGACGCGGUGAAUGUGUUCCUGAGCCUUGUACACACCGCCCGUCAAGUCAUGGAAGCCGGGAGGCCUCGAAGUCGCCUCAAUUCAGGGGUGCCGAAAGGAAGCUCGGUGACUGGGACUAAGUCGGAACAAGGUA
rnacentral:rRNA from 1 species